rnacentral:rRNA from 1 species
AUUGAACGCUGGCGGCAUGCCUUACACAUGCAAGCCGAACGGCAGCACGGGAGCAAUCCUGGUGGCGAGUGGCGAACGGGUGAGUAAUAUAUCGGAACGUGCCCAGUCGUGGGGGAUAACGUAGCGAAAGCUACGCUAAUACCGCAUACGAUCUAUGGAUGAAAGCGGGGGAUCGCAAGACCUCGCGCGAUUGGAGCGGCCGAUAUCAGAUUAGGUAGUUGGUGAGGUAAAGGCUAACCAAGCCGACGAUCUGUAGCUGGUCUGAGAGGACGACCAGCCACACUGGGACUGAGACACGGCCCAGACUCCUACGGGAGGCAGCAGUGGGGAAUUUUGGACAAUGGGCGCAAGCCUGAUCCAGCAAUGCCGCGUGCAGGAUGAAGGCCUUCGGGUUGUAAACUGCUUUUGUACGGAACGAAACGGCGAGCUCUAAUACAGUUUGCUAAUGACGGUACCGUAAGAAUAAGCACCGGCUAACUACGUGCCAGCAGCCGCCGUAA